AUAAUGAGUUUCCGGUGGAAGAGAAGAAGUGUGGUAUGGAGAGGAAGGGUUACAAAUCAUUCCCCAGCUGAAAAAAGCUCUUGGAACAAAGCUCAAAAGCUAUAUUCAGUGAAGAAGUGUAGAAGUUUCUUAGUGGAGAAAUGA
rnacentral:lncRNA from 1 species